rnacentral:lncRNA from 1 species
AAUAUGUAAAAUAUUUUUGUGUUAACAAUGUGAUAUAACUCAUUAAGCAAUAUUUAUCUCAGAAAAUGCUCAUUUUUUCUUGUUUAAAAGAAUGUUAAUAUGUAAUAUUUUACCCUCCAUAGGGGUAUAUCUCAGUGGAACUUGAUGAAAACCAGAGGACAAUUUAAAAACAUUCACUGCAAGAUAAUCAUAAGUUAUGGUUCUACUUCAUGAUAUGAUUAUAACUUUGCAUUUAUUUAUUUGCAUCAUGAUUGAUAUUUUGGCAGGUAAUCAAAGUUAUUGCAAAAUUAUGUCAAGCUAAAAUUCUAUUGUAUGGUAUAUUUUUCAUGAUCUAGAGAAGAUAAGUUAUUGAUUUUAUGGAACCUAUUUGGUAGGAGAAAGACAUAAAAUUUCCAACUAACAUCAUUAAUCUACUUCAAUUCACCUUAUAAGUAUUACAUAAUAGAAAUGCAUAUUUUAAUUAAUUUUAAGCAUAAUUUUAAUGAACAUUCCCAGUGUUUAACUUUCAAAGUGUGCUAAUAUAAAUCAAGAAGGUAAAAAUAAGCAUAAGUAAAUAAACAAAUAAACAAUGAUAACUCCAUUUUAAAGCAUCUACAAAUAAUCUGGCUAAGCAUUUUAUUAAAUUAGUGCUAAAAUUUUUUCUAAGUACAUACAUGAAUUUUAUGGUAAUGACAAUAAUAG